UUGUAAAAGAUAAAUUAUUGAGUGGUUUGAAUUUCUACAAAAAUCUUAGCCCCUUUGUUUUCACAUUGGAAUUCAUAAUUAACGUUUUAUUUUUCAAUUACCAUUGUCUUGAUUUUUAUUACUAUUAAAGUUUUCUAUCAUGAUUACUAUUUAUUAAGCGUUUAUUUUUCUCUUUUACCCAUGUGUGUGCUUGAAUAUUUGUGUUUCAAAUGUCUAUUUGACACUCCUUUCAACCAACUAUGUGCACAGCAAAGGCACCAGCUGCUUUGUUUAUAUCAGGGAACAACUUGUUGCCCAAAGAUUGGCUAAGGUACCUGGGGAAAAGCUAAAGAGCCCGGCCAGAAGAAAAGAAAGAAAACAUAUUCAUUAUUUUAUACUCCAUUUCUGCCAAUAUAUCCCCCUAAAUUCUAUACAGUGGACCUUUGAGUUAUCAGAGAAAUAGGACGAGCACACAAUUCCAUGUGGUGGGUGAGCUGCCCAUCUCUGACAUGCCAAGCAGCGUUGGAGAAACGAUGAUUUAAAAACUACUUCAUUUUGUGUUUAUACUGGUUUUAAUCACCUGGUUCAUUUGUUUUGGAGAUAAAGAGAUCUGUGUGGAUAAUUUUGCUCCCAGUAAAAACCACCUGAACAAUGAACACUAAGGGAAUUCUAACUGGGAGAAGUUUCACCUGGUGAAAUCUGCAACAAAGAGCAUGGAUACCAAGAGGCGAAGUGCCGUUGAAUUUCUGCCAACAGCCACCAGGGGCGCUAAUGUCAUUUUGGACUGUUGAGCUUGGACCGUUGCGCCCAGACAACACGCAAGAUGUCAAGGAGAGGAGAAAAAAGUAAAAGAAAACAGUGUAGUGCAAUUAACUGCAACAACUAUCAGUGGAACACCUGGCCUUCCACCGUUUCCCGAAGGAUCCCGACAGACGUGUACGUUUUAAAGUGUUUUAAUAUCAAUUUAAUAUGCCAGUUUUCGUGGGAAGAUAUAUGUAUAUAUGUAUAUAUAGACCUAUAUAUGGCCUCUUGGACCAUUUAUAUCAGAACUGAUUAGCCUACUGCUUUAGCAUUAAAAUAUAUCAUAUUAAAAUAGCUUACAUAUUAUUAUUAUUAUUAUGACUGUCCCCUUACUGUACAAACUGUAAAUAAAUCUUUAUUCCUGACUAUGUAACGUCACCAUUAAUGUGUUUCUAGUUAAAAUAUUGAUUUUUAUUUAUUUAUUUAUUUAUUUAUUUAUUCUUUGGUAGAUUGGCUUAUGGGGUGAUUUUGAAGGAGUAAUUAAGUUAAUCUUCUCAUAAGUGAAUGUAAUAUGUAGAGAUGCCAUCUAGGCCGUUUUUCAUUGUUUUGGUUUUUUUUUAAAGUCUAUAUUUUGCUUUACAAAAACGUGAAAAAGCAGCUGUGACCAAGCUAUCACGAGGUGAGUAGCAUUGUAAGCAUAAUUAAUAGUGAUAUACUUCAGUUUGUCUGUGUGUUUUUGUAUUCAAGCGGGUCUGCUGCGGUCUGCUGACAGUCCAAAAUGGCGGCGGUAGGAAGAAACCAUGGUACUGCUGCUGUGACAUGAUAUCCAUCCAUCCAUCCAUCCAUAUAUCUAUCCAUCAAUCCAUCCAUCCAUGUUUUUGACCUGUGAUGAGGUAUUGAAGACGCAAAAUUCGGUGCCUGGAUUAGGGCCUGGAGGCUCCCGACCUUGUCCUCAACGUUGCUUCUCAAUUGUCCUCUGAUGUCAGUCUAAUACCUUGGGUUCAUCUAAUUGAUACUCAAAGAAACACUGGAGACAGGCAGAGUCCAAUGCAAUCGAGUUUAAUGUGUUCACGAGCUUCAACACAUCAUGAGUCAAGCCCCGGAGCUGGACUGAAAACUCGCUCUCAGUGCGCUCGCUUUUAUGCUGGUGGAGACUGGGUAGAGUCUCCACCUCUUUUGUUAAUCCUUCCCACUCAAAUCCAAAUCUAUUGGUGGCAACCUUUUUCUUUUUGUCCAAUCAUGAACAGGCCCGUUUUUAAUGGUGUAAUCACUUUCACUUUGAGCCUGGAAUUUCCCAAAUCUCCCACCCUUAGGUUUGGAUUUGCUUUCACUUUAUUUUUAAAAAACAUGUGAAUCUUAGGGACUUUCUUUAUGCAGCCCCUUGUGCAAUGUGAACCUUUAAAUGUGCAUCAGGUAAUACAAACAUUUGAGUGUGUGUGUGUGUUAUC